rnacentral:rRNA from 1 species
CUCGUAGGCGGUUUGUUACGUCGGAUGUGAAAACCCGGGGCUCAACCCCGGGCCUGCAUUCGAUACGGGCAGACUUGAGUGUGGUAGGGGAGACUGGAAUUCCUGGUGUAGCGGUGAAAUGCGCAGAUAUCAGGAGGAACACCGAUGGCGAAGGCAGGUCUCUGGGCCACUACUGACGCUGAGGAGCGAAAGCGUGGGGAGCAAACA